rnacentral:lncRNA from 1 species
ACUUAAGCACCGCUUGUGCGUCACUACCGGAGUCCCGCUGGUCCCGCCUCUGCCCCUUCCGUUCCUGCAGCAUCUGCGGAUAAGAUUGGCUGUAGCCUGUGUUGCUGUCACCCCAGCUGGAUCGCUUUUUUUUAAAUUCCUGGGCUGUGUUUUAAUCUACAACUGCGUCCGUGAGUGCGGGUUGCUAAGUGGCUUGCAAACUAGAGGAGCUGAGGCUUCCAGGCAGGCCGUUAGUUGUCCAUCGUGCGGUGGUGGGAUACGACACUGAGUGCAGUGUGUGUGUGUUGUGUGCUCACGUAUGCCUGUGUCCGUGUGUGUGAUGCACUUGCGGUAAGACCAUUUGUAAUUUUGUAGAGUUUGGUGCUACGUAACUAGCUUACCUGCCACUGGUAAGCCUCUACUCCUCCUGUUGUUGUUAUUGUGUGUUAUUUAUGUGAUUGUGCGGCUACUAUCAGCUAUCAAGCUUUUUAAAAGUGAUUUAUAUUGGAUAAUUAAGGAAAAUAAAGUAUUUUUGUAU